rnacentral:rRNA from 1 species
GAUGAACGCUGGCGGCGUGCCUAAUACAUGCAAGUCGAGCGAACGGACGAGAAGCUUGCUUCUCUGAUGUUAGCGGCGGACGGGUGAGUAACACGUGUUUAACCUACCUCUAAGACUGGGAUAAUUUCGGGAAACCGGAGCUUAUACCGGAUAAUAUUUUGAAUCGCAUGGUUCAAAAGUUAAAUUCGGUCUUUCUGUCACUUAUAGCUUGAUCAGCGCUGAUUUAGCUAGUUGGUAAGGUAACGGCUUACCAAGGCUAGGAUGCAUACCGGACCUGAAAGAGUGGUAGCCCACACUGGAGAGGAGACGCGGUAGAGACGCCUGCGAGGGGCAACGGUAGGGAAUCUUACGCAAUGGGGGAAAGGCUGACAGAGGAACACCGCGUAAGUGAUGAAGGUCUUCGGAUCGUAAAACUCUGUUAUUAGGGAGGAACAUAUGUGUAUGUAACUGAGAACAUAAUGACGGUACCUAAUGAGAAAGCCACGGCUAACUACGUG